UAAGUCAAUUUCACUUCCGGUCAGUAGACUGGGAGGUGAAGGUCGCCGUGAGACGCUGUAGCCUGGGCAGGUGGUGCCGCCAUCAAACAAGGUCGGAGGAGCAGGCGGCACCCGCCCUGACGCUGUUUGUUGUACCACAGACAUUUCAGGAGCUGUGCAGCCUGUUCCCUCAUCUGAUAUGGGGUCUGUAACAGCCCCCACUACCACCCCAUCUUGUGGUCUGUCAGUGAGAACUUUGAUCCAUCAGCAUCCACGGUCUUCUUCUAAAUUGCCAAUAACUCGAAAGCAGGCACGCCAUGCAGCCGUAUUGACCAACUUCCUGUGCAUGGGAACCUGGGAGGCAGUGACCAUGAGAUGGUCGAGUUCAGGAUCCUGACACAAGGAAGAAAGGAGAGUAGCAGAAUACAGACCCUGGACUUCAGAAAAGCAGACUUUGACUCCCUCAGGGAAC